rnacentral:rRNA from 1 species
GACGAACGCUGGCGGCGUGCUUAACACAUGCAAGUCGAACGGAAAGGCCCUGCUUUUGUGGGGUGCUCGAGUGGCGAACGGGUGAGUAACACGUGAGUAACCUGCCCUUGACUUUGGGAUAACUUCAGGAAACUGGGGCUCUUACCGGAUAGGAGCUCCUGCUGCAUGGUGGGGGUUGGAAAGUUUCGGCGGUUGUGGAUGGUCUCGCGGCUUAUGAGCUUGUUGGUGGGGUAGUGGCUUACCAAGGCUUUGACGGGUAGCCGGCCUGGGAGGGUGACCGGCCACCAUGGGACUGCGAGACGGCCCAGACUGCUACGGGAGGCAGCAGUGGGGAGUAUUGCACAGUGGGCGGAAGCCUGAUGCAGCAACGCCGCGUUCGGGAUGACGGCCUUCGGGUUAUAAACCGCUUUCGCCUGUGACGAAGCGUGAGUGACGGUAAUGGGUAAAAAAGCACCGGCUAACUACGUG